rnacentral:rRNA from 1 species
GAUGAACGCUGGCGGCGUGCCUAAUACAUGCAAGUCGAGCGAACGGACGAGAAGCUUGCUUCUCUGAUGUUAGCGGCGGACGGGUGAGUAACACGUGGAUAACCUACCUAUAAGACUGGGAUAACUUCGGGAAACCGGAGCUAAUACCGGAUAAUAUUUUGAACCGCAUGGUUCAAAAGUGAAAGACGGUCUUGCUGUCACUUAUAGAUGGAUCCGCGCUGCAUUAGCUAGUUGGUAAGGUAACGGCUUACCAAGGCAACGAUGCAUAGCCGACCUGAGAGGGUGAUCGGCCACACUGGAACUGAGACACGGUCCAGACUCCUACGGGAGGCAGCAGUAGGGAAUCUUCCGCAAUGGGCGAAAGCCUGACGGAGCAACGCCGCGUGAGUGAUGAAGGUCUUCGGAUCGUAAAACUCUGUUAUUAGGGAAGAACAUAUGUGUAAGUAACUGUGCACAUCUUGACGGUACCUGACCAGAAAGCCACGGCUAACUACGU